CCUACGGGUGGCAGCAGUGAGGAAUAUUGGUCAAUGGGCGCGAGCCUGAACCAGCCAAGUCGCGUGAGGGAUGAAGGUUCUAUGGAUCGUAAACCUCUUUUAUAAGGGAGUAAAGUGUGGGACGUGUCCUAUUUUGUAUGUACCUUAUGAAUAAGGAUAGGCUAACUCCGUGCAAGCAGCCGCGGUAAUACGGAGGAUCCGAGCGUUAUCCGGAUUUAUUGGGUUGAAAGGGUGCGUAGGCGGCCUUUUAAGUAAGCGGUGAAAGUCUGUGGCUCAACCAUAGAAUUGACGUUGAAACUGGGGGGCUAGAGUAUGUGUGAGGCAGGCGGAAUGCGUGGUGUAGCGGUGAAAUGCUUAGAUAUCAGGCAGAACCCCGAUAGCGAAGGCAGCCUGCCAGGCCAUGACUGACGCUGAUGCACGAAAGCGUGGGGAGCAAACAGGAUUAGAUACCCGUGUAGUC
rnacentral:rRNA from 1 species